GGUAAUACUAGGCAUAACUGCUGGUAUACUGGUAGGUGAAAAACAUCAACAUUUAACGUGGUUGAAAGUACA
rnacentral:lncRNA from 1 species